rnacentral:rRNA from 1 species
GAGUUUGAUCUUGGCUCAGGACGAACGCUGGCGGCGCGCCUAACACAUGCAAGUCGAGGGGCAUCGGGAAGAAAGCUUGCUUUCUUUGCCGGCGACCGGCGCACGGGUGAGUAACACGUAUCCAACCUGCCCUUUACUCGGGGAUAGCCCUUCGAAAGAAAGAUUAAUACCCGAUAGUAUAAUGAUUCCGCAUGGUUUCAUUAUUAAAGGAUUCCGGUAAAGGAUGGGGAUGCGUUCCAUUAGGUUGUUGGUGAGGUAACGGCCCACCAAGCCUUCGAUGGAUAGGGGGUUCUGAGAGGAAGGUCCCCCACAUUGGAACUGAGACACGGUCCAAACUCCUACGGGAGCAGCAGUGAGGAAUAUUGGUCAAUGGGCGCUAGCCUGAACCAGCCAAGUAGCGUGAAGGAUGAAGGCUCUAUGGGUCGUAAACUUCUUUUAUAUAAGAAUAAAGUGCAGUAUGUAUACUGUUUUGUAUGUAUUAUAUGAAUAAGGAUCGGCUAACUCCGUGCCAGCAGCCG